rnacentral:misc_RNA from 1 species
UCCGGUUUAUCACCGGCAGUCUCCAUAGAGUUCUCGCCAUUACACGUUAGUAACUAUGAAUAAGGGUUGCGCUCGUUGCGGGACUUAACCCAACAUCUCACGACACGAGCUGACGACAGCCAUGCAGCACCUCUACACAGUCCUCCGAAGAGGGGCUCUCGUUUCUAAGAGCUUGCUCCUGCAUGUCAAGCCUAGGUAAGGUUCUUCGCGCUGCGUCGAAUUAAACCACAUGCUCCACCGCUUGUGCGGGCCCCCGUCAAUUCCUUUGAGUUUCAACCUUGCGGUCGUACUCCCCAGGCGGGGCACUUAAUGCGUUAGCUGCGACACCGAACCCGUCUAUAGGCCCGGCAUCUAGUGCCCAUCGUUUGCGGCGUGGACUAC